ensembl:lncRNA
CUUUAUUGGAGUAGUGUGUACGGUUUGUAGCCAUAGCAACGUCUGACACCACCCGGAGCAGAGCGCACCGAGCCGCGGGUCCACGCUGCUAAAUCAUCCGCUAAACCAGUCGAUCGAUGGAUCAGACGCAUCGGUAGCGGAUACUCGCGUCGAACUGCAAAAUGUGAACGACGUCGAGUUCGUAUGGCGUCUGGCGAUGACAUUUCGAGUGUCUCCACCGCCUUCUAAGAGGAGCUCGGGUUGCAGCCCGAAGCGCUGCGAGUCGCUCGGUGACGUCAAAGCGAUGAUCAAGACCUCGAGGGACGCGAGCUUGCUGCCAGAGCGGAGUAAAUUGCCAUACAUUCCCAGUUUAGCCAAGUCGACGGACGGAGCGUGCCGCCGUGUUAACGGUUUUGCAAAUUUAACCAAAAGUCUCCUAGCGACAAAAGGACAAGAGGCCGGCGGGAGUCAUUUUCUGUUUGACAAAACAUAUGAUCAUAUACAACGGACCGGAACCCUGAACCCACCUCUGCCAAAGAACUAUCACGUGCACCGGACCGGAAAACUGCAGCCUAUUGGCGCCCCCCAUGGGCAAGGCCGGCCCCUCUCCCUGAGCUCCUGUGAAGGCUACAGCCUCGGCACUAACCCAACGUUCCUCUUACCCUCUGCGUUGGUCCUCAACAAGAGGAACACCCUCUCCGUGGACCACUGCCUGUUAAACAGGCCUAAAGGGAAUCAACGCACCUACAACCUGUUGACCAUCAAAGACAUUCAAAAAGGUCAGGGGUCGUUCCCGGACCCUGUGGCAGGGGCCCCGUACCCCUUCCUCCAGAGGGUCUCUGAGCUGGCGGCUCUGGAGGGGGACACGGCCCGGCAGGAGAAGCUGGUGAAGAUGACUAAGAACAGAAAGCAGGAGUCCUGAUGAGCCCACAACAUCAUCUCAGAGGAAACCCCUAGAGUAGAACCACCUCGUCUUCGAGGGGACCUCAUCGGUGAAUCCACGGGUCCAGGAUCCAAACAUCUCCCAUGGUGCCAAAGUUAUACAGACUUUUAUCGGUUGCGUCAGUUUCCUGCGUCAGUGUAUUGAUUUAUACUUUCUGUUCCUCGAUAGUGUUUGCCGACAACAGUGAAGUCUGCUCUUUAUUUCAGGUAUAAGUUGUCAGUAUUUCCCUUCUGUUAUCUAAAAUUGUUCUUGAUCAUUCUUGCGCAUCCCCUGAAAGAAAUAGCACAUAUUUACUUCAAAACUGUCUGUGUAUCAGUAUCUACAUUGGAUUGCAAGUCUGGCACAUCAACAGACUGGCUUUUCUAUCCCAUUUUGGCCCAGUUAGCAUUUUGGGCCAAAAUGCUAACUGGCUUUCCAGUAUUUGGCAUUUAUUCACAUUGAAACAAUAAAUGUAUUGUGGAGUUUUUCUGAGGUCAAUAUCUUUGAUGUACACUUAUGGUUAUUCUGUGUUUAUCACACACAGUAGGCUGAAUCGUAUGGGAGUCGUAUCAAUGGGAAUAUUUAUCCUCCUCUCUGUGACCAUGGGCUUGAGAUAGGCGCCGUAAUUACUGGAUGCCUGAAUGAUGGCGCUGGAUCUAAAUAUGC